AUUGAACGCUGGCGGCAUGCCUUACACAUGCAAGUCGAACGGCAGCACGGGUGCUUGCACCUGGUGGCGAGUGGCGAACGGGUGAGUAAUACAUCGGAACAUGUCCUGUAGUGGGGAUAGCCCGGCGAAAGCCGGAUUAAUACCGCAUACGAUCUACGGAUGAAAGCGGGGGACCUUCGGGCCUCGCGCUAUAGGGUUGGCCGAUGGCUGAUUAGCUAGUUGGUGGGGUAAAGGCCUACCAAGGCGACGAUCAGUAGCUGGUCUGAGAGGACGACCAGCCACACUGGGACUGGGACACGGCCCAGACUCCUACGGGAGGCAGCAGUGGGGAAUUUUGGACAAUGGGCGAAAGCCUGAUCCAGCAAUGCCGCGUGUGUGAAGAAGGCCUUCGGGUUGUAAAGCACUUUUGUCCGGAAAGAAAUCCUUGGCCCUAAUACGGUCGGGGGAUGACGGUACCGGAAGAAUAAGCACCGGCUAACUACGUG
rnacentral:rRNA from 1 species